CGUUGUUUUCUGCCUGUGCUGCUGAUGGUUUGGACGUAGUAAUUCUAAGGGAUUGGUCUGGAACACCAAGCAGAACAAACCCAAGCAUGGAUGAAAAGAAAGCAGGAGAUGAGGGCAGCUGUGACAGAGACACCAAGGAGCUUGACGAUAUCCUUGUUCUGAUUGGAGAAUUUGGGAAGUACCAAAAACUGAUUUAUGUGCUGUUUUUGAUAGUAAGUCUGUUGGCAAAUAUGGUGAACGGAGCCGUUGUUUUCAUAGAGGACACACCCAGUUUCAGGUGUAAGCUGCCCGGUCUUCAAAAUGACACCUUCGAAAUCCAGGGGAAAUGGCACCAAAAUAUGGUCGACAUAUCCUUCAUUAAUGUA